rnacentral:rRNA from 1 species
UACGGAGGAUUCAAGCGUUAUCCGGAUUUAUUGGGUUUAAAGGGUGCGUAGGCGGUCUGAUAAGUUAGAGGUGAAAUCCCGGGGCUUAACUCCGGAAUUGCCUCUGAUACUGUUGGGCUAGAGAGUAGUUGCGGUAGGCGGAAUGUAUGGUGUAGCGGUGAAAUGCUUAGAGAUCAUACAGAACACCGAUUGCGAAGGCAGCUUGCCAAACUAUAUCUGACGUUGAGGCACGAAAGCGUGGGGAGCAAACAGG